AGCAGCGUGGCUCAGUGGAAAGAGCCCGGGCUUGGGAGUCAGAGGUCAUGGGUUCGAAUCCCAACUCUGCCC
rfam:Ornithorhynchus anatinus chromosome 7, whole genome shotgun sequence.